rnacentral:rRNA from 1 species
UACGUAGGGUGCAAGCGUUAAUCGGAAUUACUGGGCGUAAAGCGUGCGCAGGCGGUUUUGUAAGUCUGUCGUGAAAUCCCCGGGCUCAACCUGGGAAUGGCGAUGGAGACUGCAAGGCUGGAAUCUGGCAGAGGGGGGUAGAAUUCCACGUGUAGCAGUGAAAUGCGUAGAGAUGCGGAGGAACACCGAUGGCGAAGGCAGCCCCCUGGGCUAACACUGACGCUCAGGCACGAAAGCGUGGGGAGCAAACAGG